UGAGCUAGAAUACUAUCGAUAGCAAACGGGUUCCGUUGCCAUCCAUUUGUUUUCAAUGAUGGAGCCUCCAAAUCGACGAUCGGCACCGUUGAACAUGAUCUAUACCACUUGAAAUAUCUAGAAAUCAAGUUUCAAAUCUUUUCGACAUCAUUGAUCUAAUGAUCAAAGGAUUUCAAAAUUUAUAAUUUUAAUGGUCGAUAUGAAGUGCUUUCUCGUUUAACGGUGUAAAGCUAUCCAAAUCAAUUGAAUUUUGGUUAGAAAAUUCUUUAAACUAUUUAGAACAAGAUCUAUACUCUCGAUCUUGAUUACAAAAUUCCUAUUAUCACUUUUUAGAGGAUAUUCAUUUUCAGCCAUUCAUUUUUACGCUCACUUGAUGAACAAGAUAACAAUAUCGGAAAAACAUGAAAUUUGAUUUCUAGAUACUUCAAGUAGUAUAGAUUAUGUUCAAUGGUGCCGAUCGUCGAUUUGGAGGCUUCAUCAUCGAAAACAAAUGGGUGUCAACGGAGCCCGUUUGCUACCGAUGGUAUUCUAGCUCAACUCUAGCUCAACUCUAUAGUUGAGCUAGAAUACUAUCGGUAGCAAACGGGCUCCGUUGACACCCAUUUCUUUUCGAUGAUGGAGCCUCCAAAUCGACGAUCGGCACCGUUGAACAUGAUCUAUACCACUUGAAACAUUUAGAAACCAAAUUUCAAAUCUUUUCGUCAUCAUUGACCUAAUGAUCAAAGGGUUUCAAAAUUUGUAAUUUUAAUGGUCAAUGUGAGGCGUUUUCUCGUUUAAUGGUGUAAAGAUAUCCAAAUCGAUUAAAUUUUGGUUAGAAAAUUUUUUAAACUAUUUAGAACAAGAUCUAUACUCUCGAUCUUGAUUAUAAGAUUUCUAUCAUCACUUUUUAAAGAAUAUUCAUUUUUCAGUGUCAUCAUUUUCUUUUCACUAGAUGGAUAAACAAAAUCCAAAGUGCGUGAAUUAUUUAGUAGUUAGAAGUUAGAUAUAUUUAAAACGAGCCGAUCGUAAUUUGGAGCUCUUAUCGAAAAAACUCGAGAGUACAACGGACUCGUUUACUCUCCGAAGUCUCUAGCUCCAAACUUCUAUUAUAUAUGUGACUAGAAUACCUCGAGAGUAAACGAGCCCGUUUAACUCUCGAGUGUUUUCGAUAAAGCUUCCAAUUGACGAUGCUCCUUUGACAUGAUUUAUAUUACCAUUGAAUGUUUAGAAAUCAAAUUCAACAUCUUUUUUCGACAUCAUUUGCCUAAUGAUCAAAGGUUUCAAAAUUUGUAAUUAAUGUGGAUAAAGACGUUCUCCGUUAACUGUAAAGAAGUCCAAAAUCGAAUUUUGAAUUUUGUAGAAAAUUCUUUAAACUAUGUAAAAAAGAUAUAUACUUUUGAUCUUGAUACAAACCCGAGCAUCAUUUUAAAAAAUAUUCAUUGCACCAUUCAUUUUUCGUUCCCUAAGGAUAUAAACAACAUCGAAUUGUUUUGCUGAAAUCUGAUUUUAGGUUUAAAUGGUUUUAGAUCAAUAUUACAUGUGCAGAUCGUCAAAUUGGAACCUAUCAUGAAAACGAAUCGAGAGACAGUAAAACGGGCUCGCUUACAUCUCUAAGUAUUCAUAGCUCAACUUAUAUAUAGAGUUAGCUAAGAUCUAACUCUAGAGAGUAAACAGCCGUUACUCUCGAGUUGCUUUCGAUAUAGAUCAAUGACGAUCGCUCGUUGAAACAGAAUUAAUAAUCCACUUGAAGUUUAGAAAAUCAAAGUUCAAAUCUUAUUCGACAUACAAACCUUUCUUCCUACAUAUCAAAGGUUGCAAAUUAUUGUAAUUUUAAUGGGGAUAAGAGACGUUUUCAUCGUUUAACGGUGUAUAUAAUUCCAAAUCAAUUGGGAUAAUUGGUUAGACAAAUUCUUAAUACUGUUAAAACAAGAUCUAUACUAUUGAUCCUGAUUACAAGACUCCUAUGAUCAUUUUUUAAAGAAUAUUCAUUUUCAGCCGUUCAUUUUUGUGUCCACUUGAUGGGUAAGAGAACAAUAUCGAAAAUGUAUGAAAUUUGAUUUCUAAACACUUUAAGUGGUAUAGAUCAUGUUCAACGGUGCCGAUCUUCGAUUUGGAGGCUCCAUCAUCGAAAACAAAUGGGUGUCAACGGAGCCCGUUUGCUACCGAUGGUAUUCUAGCUCAACUCUAGCUCAACUCUAUAGUUGAGCUAGAAUACUAUCGGUAGCAAACGGGCUCCGUUGACACCCAUUUCUUUUCGAUGAUGGAGCCUCCAAAUCGACGAUCGGCACCGUUGAACAUGAUCUAUACCACUUGAAACAUUUAGAAACCAAAUUUCAAAUCUUUUCGUCAUCAUUGACCUAAUGAUCAAAGGGUUUCAAAAUUUGUAAUUUUAAUGGUCAAUGUGAGGCGUUUUCUCGUUUAAUGGUGUAAAGAUAUCCAAAUCGAUUAAAUUUUGGUUAGAAAAUUUUUUAAACUAUUUAGAACAAGAUCUAUACUCUCGAUCUUGAUUAUAAGAUUUCUAUCAUCACUUUUUAAAGAAUAUUCAUUUUCAGCCAUUUAUUUUUCUGUUCACUUGAUGGAUGAAAGAACAAUAUCGAAAGUGCGUGAAAUUUGAUUUCUAAAUAGUUUAAAUGGUUUAGAUCAUAUUUAACGGAGCCGAUUGUCAAUUUGGAAGCUCUAUCAUCGAAAACAAAUCGGUAGUAAAACGGCUCGUUUAGCUCUCGAGAGUAUUCUAUGCUCAACUCAAUAUAUAUAGUUGAGCUAAAUACUCUCAGAGAAACGAGCCCGUUUACUCAUCGGUUGUGUCGAAUAAGCUUCGGCAAUGACGAUCGUCGCUCCGUUAACAUGAUUUAUACCACCUAAGUUUAGAAAUCAAAUUUUUAAAAUCUUGCGCCAACAUAUGCCUAAGGAUCUAAAGGGUUUCAAAAUUUGUAAUUUAAUGGUGGAUAAGAACGUUCUCGUUUAACGGUGUAAAGAUAUCCAAAUCAAUUGAAUUUUUGUAGAAAAUCUUCAAAAACUAUUAAAACAAGAUCUAUACUCUUAUCUUGGUUUACAAACUCCUAUCAUCUCGUUUUUUAAACGAAAUUCUUAUUCAGCCAUGCUUCAUGUUUUUUGUUCGCACUAGAUGGAUAUAAAACAAUAUCGAAAGUGGCUGAAAUCUGAUUUCUAGUUAGUUAAAUGUUAGAUCAUAUUUUCACGAGCCGAUCGUCAAAUUGGAAACUCUACAUCGACAAACCAACUCGAGAGUAAACGGGCUCGUUUACUCUCGAGAGUAUCUAGCUCAACUCUAUAUAUAAAUUGAGCUAGAAUACUAUCGGUAGUAAACCAGUCAUUUUACCUAUUUGUUUUCGAUGAUAGAGCUUCCAAAUUGACGAUCGGCUCCGUUGAACAUGAUCUAUACCACUUGAAAUGUUUAGAAAUCAAAUUUCAAAUCUUUUCGACAUCAUUUGCCUAAUGAUUAAAGGGUUUCAAAAUUUGUAAUUUUAAUGGUCAAUUAGAGGCGUUUUCUCGUUUAACGGCGUAAAGAUAUCCAAAUCAAUUGAAUUUUUGUUAGAAAAUUUUUUAAACUAUUUAAAACAAGAUCUAUACUCUUGAUCUUGAUUAUAAGACUCCUAUCAUCAUUUUUUAAAGAAUAUUCAUUUUCAGCCAUUCAUUUUUCUGUUCACUUGAUGGAUAAAAGAACAAUAUCGAAAGUGCGUGAAAUUUGAUUUCUAGGUAGUUUAAAUGGUUUAGAUCAUAUUUCACGGAGGCGAUCGUUAAUUUGGAAGCUCUAUUAUUGAAAACAAAUAGGUAGUAAAACGGCUCGUUUACUACUGAUAGUAUUCUAGCUCAACUCUAUAUAUAGUGUGACGCUAGAAACUCUCGAGAGUAAACGAGUCGUUUUACUAUCGAGUUGUUUUCGAUGAUAGAGCUUCCAAAUUGACGAUCAGCUCCGUUGAACAUGAUCUAUACCACUUGAAGUGUUUAGAAAUCAAUUUUCAAAUCUUUUUGACAUCAUUUGCCUAAUGAUCAAAGGGUUUCAAAAUUUGUAAUUUUAAUGAUGGAUAAGGGACGUUUUCUCGUUUAACGGUGUAAAGAUAUCCAAAUCAAUUGAAUUUUUGUUAGAAAAUUCUUUAAACUAUUUAAAACAAGAUCUAUACUCUUGAUCUUGAUUACAAGACUCCUAUCAUCAUUUUUUAAAGGAUAUUCAUUUUCAGCCAUUCAUUUUUCUGUUCACUAGAUGGAUAAAAAUAAUAUCGAAAGUGCGUGAAAUUUGAUUUCUAGGUAGUUUAAAUGGUUUAGAUCAUAUUUAACGGAGCCGAUCGUCAAUUUGGAAGCUCUAUCAUCGAAAACAACUCGAUAGUAAAACGGCUCGUUUACUAUCGAGAGUAUUCUAGCUCAACUCUAUAUUAAUGUUACUAGAAUCCUCAUCGAGAGAAACGACCCCCAUUAUACUAUCGAGUUGUUUUCGAUGAUAGAGCUUCCAAAUUGACGAUCAGCUCCGUUGAACAUGAUCUAUACCACUUGAAGUGUUUAGAAAUCAAUUUUCAAAUCUUUUUGACAUCAUUUGCCUAAUGAUCAAAGGGUUUCAAAAUUUGUAAUUUUAAUGAUGGAUAAGGGACGUUUUCUCGUUUAACGGUGUAAAGAUAUCCAAAUCAAUUGAAUUUUUGUUAGAAAAUUCUUUAAACUAUUUAAAACAAGAUCUAUACUCUUGAUCUUGAUUACAAGACUCCUAUCAUCAUUUUUUAAAGGAUAUUCAUUUUCAGCCAUUCAUUUUUCUGUUCACUAGAUGGAUAAAAAUAAUAUCGAAAGUGCGUGAAAUUUGAUUUCUAGGUAGUUUAAAUGGUUUAGAUCAUAUUUAACGGAGCCGAUCGUCAAUUUGGAAGCUCUAUCAUCGAAAACAACUCGAUAGUAAAACGGCUCGUUUACUAUCGAGAGUAUUCUAGCUCAACUCUAUAUAUAUUUGACCUAGAAUAGCUCUAGAGAGUAAACGAGCCGCGUUUACUUCUCAUUUGUUUUCGAUGAUGGAGCCUCCAAAUCGGCGAUCGACACCGUUGAACAUGAUUUAUGCCACUUAAAGUGUUUAGAAAUCAAAUUUCAAAUUUUUUCGACAUCAUUUGCCUAAUGAUCAAAGGGUUUUAAAAUUUGUAAUUUUAAUGGUCGAUAUGAGGCGUUUUCUCAUUUAACGGCGUAAAGAUAUCCAAAUCAAUUGAAUUUCUGUUAGAAAAUUCUUUAAACUAUUUAAAAACAAGAUCUAUACUAUUGAUCCUGAUUACAAGACUCCUAUGAUCAUUUUUUAAAGAAUAUUCAUUUUCAGCCGUUCAUUUUUGUGUCCACUUGAUGGGUAAGAGAACAAUAUCGAAAAUGUAUGAAAUUUGAUUUCUAAACACUUUAAGUGGUAUAGAUCAUGUUCAACGGUGCCGAUCUUCGAUUUGGAGGCUCCAUCAUCGAAAACAAAUGGGUGUCAACGGAGCCCGUUUGCUACCGAUGGUAUUCUAGCUCAACUCUAGCUCAACUCUAUAGUUGAGCUAGAAUACUAUCGGUAGCAAACGGGCUCCGUUGACACCCAUUUCUUUUCGAUGAUGGAGCCUCCAAAUCGACGAUCGGCACCGUUGAACAUGAUCUAUACCACUUGAAACAUUUAGAAACCAAAUUUCAAAUCUUUUCGUCAUCAUUGACCUAAUGAUCAAAGGGUUUCAAAAUUUGUAAUUUUAAUGGUCAAUGUGAGGCGUUUUCUCGUUUAAUGGUGUAAAGAUAUCCAAAUCGAUUAAAUUUUGGUUAGAAAAUUUUUUAAACUAUUUAGAACAAGAUCUAUAAAACUAUCGAUCCUGAUUAUAAGAUUUCCUAAUAUCAAGAUUUUAAAAAAUAUUCAUUUUCAAGCCAUUCAUUUUUGUGUCCACUUGAUGGGUAAGAGAACAAUAUCGAAAAUGUAUGAAAUUUGAUUUCUAAACACUUUAAGUGGUAUAGAUCAUGUUCAACGGUGCCGAUCUUCGAUUUGGAGGCUCCAUCAUCGAAAACAAAUGGGUGUCAACGGAGCCCGUUUGCUACCGAUGGUAUUCUAGCUCAACUCUAGCUCAACUCUAUAGUUGAGCUAGAAUACUAUCGGUAGCAAACGGGCUCCGUUGACACCCAUUUCUUUUCGAUGAUGGAGCCUCCAAAUCGACGAUCGGCACCGUUGAACAUGAUCUAUACCACUUGAAACAUUUAGAAACCAAAUUUCAAAUCUUUUCGUCAUCAUUGACCUAAUGAUCAAAGGGUUUCAAAAUUUGUAAUUUUAAUGGUCAAUGUGAGGCGUUUUCUCGUUUAAUGGUGUAAAGAUAUCCAAAUCGAUUAAAUUUUGGUUAGAAAAUUUUUUAAACUAUUUAGAACAAGAUCUAUACUCUCGAUCUUGAUUAUAAGAUUUCUAUCAUCACUUUUUAAAGAAUAUUCAUUUUCAACCGUUCAUUUUUCUGUUCACUUGAUGGAUAAAAGAACAAUAUCGAAAGUGCGUGAAAUUUGAUUUCUAGGUAGUUUAAAUGGUUUAGAUCAUAUUUCACGGAGGCGAUCGUUAAUUUGGAAGCUCUAUUAUUGAAAACAAAUAGGUAGUAAAACGGCUCGUUUACUACUGAUAGUAUUCUAGCUCAAC
rnacentral:lncRNA from 1 species